rnacentral:sRNA from 1 species
AUUUUCAAAUUAUUUGUUCGGUUCGGUUUAGUUUUUUCAUCGGUUUUGGUUUGGUACAGCGCUGCGGUUUAUUUUCCGAGGUCUAAGUUUUCUAGAUUAUGAAGUUUAGACCCAUAUUUUUAUACAGAUUUUAGUUUUGAAAAUAGUUUGGUUGGCUAGGCCCAUGUCUAAUUUUAAUUUUGUUAAGUUAAUAGGAUGACAUGGAAAAAUAGUAAGUUUUUAUUGGUUAAUGUAAAUGAGGUGUAUUAAUCGAAAUGUUCUGAUUGACUGUUGAUUUUAAUGAGGUGUCAAGCUGUGGUUAACUGAAAAAGCUGAGGUGUCAGCACAUGAGAGACUUGUAGUGUUUUUAUGGUGUUGAUUAUAAAUAUAUAU